AUUGAACGCUGGCGGCAGGCCUAACACAUGCAAGUCGAGCGAGCGGCGGACGGGUGAGUAAUGUCUGGGAAACUGCCUGAUGGAGGGGGAUAACUACUGGAAACGGUAGCUAAUACCGCAUACCAUCAGAUGUGCCCAGAUGGGAUUAGCUAGUAGGUGGGGUAACGGCUCACCUAGGCGACGAUCCCUAGCUGGUCUGAGAGGAUGACCAGCCACACUGGAGCUGCGCCACGGUCCUGACUCCUACGGGAGGCAGGAGGGGGGAAUAUUGCACAAUGGGCGCAAGCCUGAUGCAGCCAUGCCGCGUGUGUGAAGAAGGCCUUCGGGUUGUGGAGCACUUUCAGCGGGGAGGCGUUACCCGCAGAAGAAGCACCGGCUAACUCCGUGCCAGCCGCCGCGGUAAUUC
rnacentral:rRNA from 1 species